rnacentral:rRNA from 1 species
GAGUUUGAUCAUGGCUCAGGAUGAACGCUAGCGGCAGGCCUAAUACAUGCAAGUCGAGGGGCAGCAGGGAUAGCAAUAUUCGCUGGCGACCGGCGCACGGGUGCGUAACACGUAUACAAUCUGCCUUCGAACAGGGGGACUAGCCCGGAGAAAUCCGGAUUAAUACCCCAUAAUAAAUUAAGUGGCAUCACUUGGUUUUGAAAGUUCCGACGGUUGAAGAUGAGUAUGCGUCUGAUUAGCUAGUUGGUGAGGUAACGGCUCACCAAGGCGACGAUCAGUAGGGGAUCUGAGAGGAUUAACCCCCCACACGGAUACUGAGACACGGAUCCGACUCCUACGGGAGGCAGCAGUAAGGAAUAUUGGACAAUGCCCGCAA